AGCUAUUUACAACACUCUGUGUGUCACCCUAAUGAUUCAUUACACUCCAUAGUGCUGUGAUGGCUGCCACCACGCUGAGCGCAGGGGAUGUAACCAGUGCCAUGUACUGUCUAUCAGUGCUAAUCAGAAGGGAAGCUAUGUGUUUGUACAGCUAAUAUCUCAUUAUAGUGGUGUUAUUUUACUCCUGAAUGUGUGAUGGUCAUAAUUGGAUUAUGGAAUGAGAGGACCUUAUGGAAUGAUGGCUCCCGUUCUAUUCUCUGUUAUGUAAUGGCUGCUUUCAGUUCACCUAUUGACUGUCAUUAAAGUGUGUGUACGGUAAAACUAAGUACAGUAAAUUGACACACAAUUGCGUGUUUUUGUCUUGAUCGGGCCUUUGACUCGCCAUCAGCAGGACCUGUACUUCCAGAACCCUAUCUUUGCCGUGGCCAGUCUCUGCUAGGUGCAGCUCCUCAUGGACCCCAGGAAGAAGUACAACAAACUCCACCCCUUAGUUGCUGAAAUAGUGGAUACAUGCCUAUAGAUCGAUCCUGCUGACAGGGCUACGUGCUCCAUGUUGCUCAUUCACCGAUACUUCUCCAAAGAUGGGUUCCCUGAAAGAUUCAUACCAAAGAUACAGGUGUUGAUAUUGAAAGAUACCAAGGUCAACAGCAUGCACAGGAUCCAUAGUGGCUUGUGGGAGGCACCAGAGGAGUUGGGAGCAGUAGUCCCAUUCUCAUGUAACAGAAAACCAGUGAAGGUAUAAACUACAUGGACCCUUAGUCAUUUAGCAUAUUCUUACCAAGAGCAUUUUACCAUCUGUAUGUACAAUAAAAGGGGCAGAGCAACUAUAAUACAAGUCAAAGCCUAUAUACUGCACUAUAGAAAUGGUUGUACAAGAUCCAUACCAGUCAACCGUAUUGAACAUGGACUGCUAUUUGUUUUAGGACACUGAAUAGGGCAGGCGUGGAAAGGAGCCUGAGCAUAAGCCUUCCAGGGCAGGCAGGAGGUCAGGAUGACCGACAGCCCUGUCUCAUCUCAGACUGACAGCCCUGUACCUCCACCUCUACCUCUACCCCAGAACCCCCUCACUCUAAGGCCAUCUUUCCUGUCACCUUCACCGUGCCCCAUCAACGCCAGCAACAUCCUGUUCGCUGCCGUCCCUGUUCCCCGCUUUAUAGAAGUCAACAAGUCCCGGUCAGUGGCUCUCAGAUCAGAGAGAUAUAGGAUACCGCUUUACAGCUUUAUCUGGUAAAGUGGCAUUCAGAAUACCACCCAGUCAUUUCAGAGUAUCUAUAACAGUACAUACAAACUGUAUCUUAAACAUAUUUACAGUGCCUUGCAAAAGUAUUCAGACCCCUUGGAUUUCUUCACAUUUUAUUGUGUUACAAAGUGGGAUUAAAAUGCAUUUAAUUGUGAUUUUUUUGGGUCAACAAUCUACUCAAAAUACUCUAUGUCAAAGUGGAAGAAUUGUAAAAAAAAAUGUUUUAUAUGAAUACAAAUUUGAUACCUAAAUAGUCGAUGCAUAAGUAUUCAGCCACUUUCUUCAAAUGAGCCUAAAUUAGUUCAGGAGUAACAUUUGUCUUAAAUCAUAUAAUAGGUUACAUGGACUCACUCUGUGGGAAAUAAUGUAGGGGUUGACAUGAUUUUUGUCUAUAACUAACCGUUCCCCUGUCCCCCAUACAUUCAACAUAUGUAAGGUCCCUCAGUCAAGUAUUUCACUUCAAGCACAGAUUCAACUACAAAGACCAGGGAGCUUUUCGAAAGCCUCAUAAAUAAGGGCAGUGAUUGGUAGAUAUGGAACAAUAACAAAUCAGACGUUGACUAUAUCUUUAAGCAUGUUCAAGUUAAUAAUGAUGCUGUGGAUUAUGUAUUAAACCACACAGACAGAUCGAACAUACAGUCAUCCUUCUGAACUGAGCAACAGGACAGGAAUGAAACUGCAUAGGGAUGUUACCAUGAGGCCGUUGGUGAUUCAAUGGCUGGGAUGGAAGAAAACUGAGGAUGGAUCAACAACAUUGUAAUAACCACAAUAAUGACUUACGACAAAGUGAAAGGAAUAAUACAAAUUCACAGAAUACAAAAAAAUGUCAAAACAUGCAUCUUGCAUGAAACAAGACACUAAAGUAAUACUGGGAAAAAAAAGGAAUACACUUUUUGGCCUAAAUGCGAAGCUUUAUGUUCAGGGACAAUCCAACACAACACAUCACUGAGUAAAUGCCUCCUUAUUUUAAAGGAUGGUGGUGGCUGCAUCAUGGUAUGGGUUUGCUUGACAUCUGCAAAGUAAUGGGGAGUCUUUUAGGAUAAAAGGAAACGAUGGUGUUAAGCAUAGACAAAAUUCUAGAGGAAAACCGACGGCAGUCUGCUUUACACCAGACACUCAGAGAGGAAUUCACCAUUCAGCAGGAUAAUUACCAAAAUCACAAUGCCAAAGUUCCUUACCAGGAAGACAGUGAAUGUUCCUGAGUGGCCAAUAAUUCCAGGUUGUAAGGUAACAAAAUAUGAAAAAUACUGUCAGGGUUUUCCUGUGGUGAAGUAGAGGACCAAAACGCAGCGUGGUUAUAUUGACUCAUGUUUAAUAAAAACAUGAACACUACAAAACAAUAAACGUGGAAAACCAAAAACAGCCCUAUCUGGUGUAAAACACAGAGACAGGAACAAUCACCCACAAACACACAGUGAAACCCAGGCUACCUAAGUAUGAUUCUCAAUCAGAGACAACUAAUGACACCUGCCUCUGAUUGAGAACCAUACUAGGCCGAAACAUAGAAAUACCCCAAAGCAUAGAAAAACAAACAUAGAC